UUUACUAUCAAAAUAUCCUUCCUCAUCGAUAAAAAAAACUUACAGAAGAAGAAGAAGAAAAUGUAUCUCUCUUUGAUAACUAGGAUAUUGAUCAUCACAAUCAUAGUUCUCAAUCUCUUCUUCUUGCUAGGAGAGGCUGCACCUGUGUGCAGAGGAAAAUGUGAAAACUUCCCCGAUUGUGGUGCGUUUUGCAAACGUAUCGGUUAUGCAGGAGGCAAAUGUUAUCCUCCACUUUUUCAAUAUUGUUGCUGCGAAUAAUUGAGUUUCGAGCUUGUGGCUAUGGAUCUGCUGCCUGCCCUCUUUAAAUUAAUAAAUGAAUUUAAUAACUUGUCUCUCUUGCUCUUACUUAAUUGUUAAGAGCAAUUCGCCAUUGAGAAUAAAAUCAAAAUUUCUAUAUAA